CUCAGACUGAGUCAAAACUGUACAGAGGAGGGUAUAUUUCAAAAACAGGCACAGGAGAGAAACAAUAUCCAGAGAUUAUUUUGGAGGAAGCCCUUAGAAUAGUGAAGGAUAUCUUAAGGAUGGGAACUAAUUCAAAAGGAUAGAAAAAAGAAGAAUGACCAAGAUAAUUUUAAGAAUGCUUUCGAUUUUAAUAAUCAGUAUAGGUCUAUUAAGAAAACAAUCA